GACGAACGCUGGCGGCGUGCUUAACACAUGCAAGUCGAACGGAAAGGCCUCUUUCGGGGGGUACUCGAGUGGCGAACGGGUGAGUAACACGUGAGUAACCUGCCCUUGACUUUGGGAUAACUUCAGGAAGCUGGGGCUAAUACCGGAUAGGAGCUCCUGCUGCAUGGUGGGGGUUGGAAAGUUUCGGCGGUUGGGGAUGGACUCGCGGCUUAUCAGCUUGUUGGUGGGGUAGUGGCUUACCAAGGCUUUGACGGGUAGCCGGCCUGAGAGGGUGACCGGCCACAUUGGGACUGAGAUACGGCCCAGACUCCUACGGGAGGCAGCAGUGGGGAAUAUUGCACAAUGGGUGGAAGCCUGAUGCAGCAACGCCGUGUGCGGGAUGACGGCCUUCGGGUUGGAAACCGCUUUCGCUCAUGACGAAGCUUUGUGUGACGGUAGUGGGUAAAGAAGCACCGGCUAACUACGUG
rnacentral:rRNA from 1 species